AAGCUUGACUACCAAGAACUUGCUUCGUACAUCCUCGCCAGUCUUGAUACUAAGUUCAACACCGUGGUUUCUGCUAUGGAUGCACGAGUAGAGCCUGUAUCACUAAAUGAGCUUUUAGUGCAACGUAUUAAUUUUGAGU
rfam:Zea mays cultivar B73 chromosome 5, whole genome shotgun sequence.